rnacentral:rRNA from 1 species
AUAAUGCCUACGGGCCAAAGAGGGGGACCUUCGGGCCUCUCGCGUCAGGAUAUGCCUAGGUGGGAUUAGCUAGUUGGUGAGGUAAGGGCUCACCAAGGCGACGAUCCCUAGCUGGUCUGAGAGGAUGAUCAGCCACACUGGAACUGAGACACGGUCCAGACUCCUACGGGAGGCAGCAGUGGGGAAUAUUGCACAAUGGGCGCAAGCCUGAUGCAGCCAUGCCGCGUGUGUGAAGAAGGCCUUCGGGUUGUAAAGCACUUUCAGUCGUGAGGAAGGUAGUGUAGUUAAUAGCUGCAUUAUUUGACGUUAGCGACAGAAGAAGCACCGGCUAACUCCGUGCCAGCAGCCGCGGUAAUACGGAGGGUGCGAGCGUUAAUCGGAAUUACUGGGCGUAAAGCGCAUGCAGGUGGUUUGUUAAGUCAGAUGUGAAAGCCCGGGGCUCAACCUCGGAAUUGCAUUUGAAACUGGCAGACUAGAGUACUGUAGAGGGGGGUAGAAUUUCAGGUGUAGCGGUGA